AGCACUUGUGUGUGUCUCUUGGUUUAAUCUGUAACAAAACCUUACACAUAGGUGCAAACAGUAAAUCCUUUUGCAACCCAGAAUUCAUUGUUGAAUGUAAAUUUGGUACAUGUAAGAAGGAAUAUG